rnacentral:rRNA from 1 species
CGAAAAGGACCUGGUUCAGCAGUAGAAGGAGGUGGUAAGGGGAGGGGGUGCGCUGUAGUGGGAGGUCUAGUGGUGGGGGGUGGGGUCUAGGGCUGGCCGAUACCGGAAGCUGAGCGACUGGAGGAGGGGCCGCCGGUGUGGCGCGCAAAGUCGCGUGGCUGUCCCGCGGGUCCCCGCUCGGCGGCGCCGCGCACCCGCCCGACUCGGCCCGCAAGCGCCUGCCCGCCGUCCACCGCAGCAGCCGCGGCAGCUCCACGGGCGCACCGGCUCGGCCAAGCGGCUGGACCUCGAAGGCGGUACUGACAGCGCACGACGCAUCGUUGCAGGCGGCAACAGCGGCCGCGAGGUUACUUCGCGCGGGCCCCGACGUUACCUCGCAGCAGGCCCAGCAACCUCGAGGCGGCGCCGACGUUACCCCGGAGCAGGCCCAGCAACCUCGAGGCGGCGCCGACGUUACCUCGAAGUAGCCUCGACGUUACUUCGGGAGCAGCACCGGUGGCCACGAGGUUACUUCGGUGGCCGCGACGACGGUACCUCCCGCCGUCUCGACGUAGCGUCGUCCGCUACGAGGUUACUUUGAAGUGGCCACGAGGUUACUUCGAAGCGGCCACGCAGUUACUUCGAAGCGGCCUCGAGCAGCCACAACGUAGGUUCAAAAAAGCAGUGUGAGCCACCACGAUACUUCGUCGUGGACCACUGAGGGCUACCACGCUACGUCGCCAACGGCUGCUGAGAACCUCGACGCUACGUCAUCGACGGCCGCCGAGGCCACUGCACGCCAGCGGCUGCGCCCGACGGCCCCCUCGCAGCAACGACGAGACCUCGAGGCAACCCAACGUUACCUCGAGUGGCCUCCGGCAGUCACGACCGUAACUUCGAAGCGACCUCACAGCAACGACGCGACCUCGAGGUAGCCCAACGUUACCUCGAGUAGGUGCUUGUUGACGUUCAGUACGACGCUGCUGUCCAGGCUGCUACCAGACUCGCUACACGACGGUACCUCGCAGUGAACCCCGCAGUAACGACCCUACCUCGAACCGUCGUGGCGCGUCACGACGGUACCUCGAAGUUACUUCGUAGAGACCUGGCACCACGACACUGCCUCGAAACGACGUGGCACGUCACGACGGGGCCUCGUAACGGCCCCCCGACCGAUAGACACGAAGGUACCUUGACGUUACCUAGUAGCCGCUACCUAACCACAGCGCGACGUCUCCGCUGCCUAAGUUUAAGGUAUCGCAACGCGAACACCAGGAAAAACAGUUUAGUCUGCCGACGCGUCUCAAAUUAGGUUGCCGCCCUCUCCGCCAAAUGUUAACCGAGGACAGUAGGCCUACUGCGGAUCAUGAGCGGUAUGUCUUUCCUGUGCUCAGGGAGCUACCUUAGGGGUUUAGUCUAGCCUAGCACCGCGACGAUGCUGUCUAACGGCCGGUUGUCAGGAAGGGUGCCCUGGACGAGGCAAGACACGCAACAACGGACGGCCCAAGCUGCCGUACCCGACCCCGCGACGCGAAGACGUCUAGUAGUAAGGUUAACACGCAGACUAAACGACGGAGGGUAGUUACUGGUGCCGAGACACUAGAAGGUACAAGAAAGGACCGCGUGUGACACCCAGAUGGGACGAUAGAUGGCCGAGGAGUAUGUUGUCGCUACCUCUUUGAUUCUCGGAAACACCUCUGUUAGCGUAGUCGAGUCGAUGCCGGUUGCAAAGAGGAGAGAUACAAAGAAACGUGCGGAGUAGAUCGCUAGGACUGAGCCCGCCGUAAACGAGAGUGGCCAUCGCGCCCCGCGAGAGCUACCGCAGCGUACACAACCUUAACUGCGGGAACACCGACGGUCAAAGACCAGCGCUGCGUGCUCAUAGACAUGUACGACCCGCCCUAGUUGCUCCUCGGUCUGGCGGGGUAGGUACAAUCGCGGUCCCGGCUGCACGCCGAAGUUCACGGGCAACUUUAAACUAGAACCGUCUAAGGAAGAUCUCAACACUAGGACCUCCGGUCGCCUCACGUACCCUGCUUGUACCUCACUGGUCGUCGCUGUUGAAACGAACCCGUCUACCUAAGGCGACGCCGCCUCAAUCUCUAUGCUUACCCUCUUAUACAUCGAUACUACUGAGUUGUUCUAGCACCGUACCCCGUUACCUACCGGCGUCAGUUUCAGGUUGCUUGAGGAGGACAUGCUACACUCUGUAGCCCUAGGUCUAUUGGAGACGCUCGUUGCUUAGGUCCGACCUCUUCGCGGUCGCUGCGCCGACCAAAUCAGAUCUGGUUGCGUACAAGUGUCCAAGUAAAGGACAAAAAAAUUAUUCAUCAAGUGCUUAGUUUAGGAAAAGACUCUGGUCUGAGUAGACGUAGGCACAACUUCUUUUUUAGUUUUGUUUACGUUCUUUUUUAUUUUUUAGGUAAAAAAACGCACCAUUUGUUAAACUACGCACUCCAGGCGGGGUUAAAAGUUUAAUAAACCCGUAGACUCAUCGAGAGCCGUUUUUUUUUGUUUAAACCCAACAUUUUGUCAAAUGACAAGUACAUGACAAAACUAGACUAAACAGAAAAAAUGACUCUCGAUGAGUCUACAAGUUUACUCGAUUUUAACCUCGCCUGGAGUGCGUUAUUUAAAAGAUAGUAAACAAAAACCUUGAAAAAUUUUAAAGAAACUUAAAAAUUAAAAAAAACACUUUAGAAGAAACUAGUCUCGGGCCCGUGGUUUAGUGACGUUUCUGAACAAAUACACGUAUGUAAUGAACAUCAUACCAUCUCUACUUUUCUUUAAAACUCAAUUCGUGUACUACUACGCGCCUCGUAUACCGGCUAACUAUAAGGCCGGUGUUUGCCGUACGUACCGGCGGCACCGACACGAGCAGGUUGUGUGUACAUACGCCAAAAAAAAGGAACUCACGCACGUCUACGUAUGCAUAAAAAAUCAACCCCGAGCAAAAAAAAUUCGAAAUCAACUCCGAUUAAAGUGCUAUCACGUGCAAGACCACGUAUACAAGUAAAAAAAGGACUGACACUCCAUCUACACAUGUAUAUGGACUCACGCGCUUAUAAUUUGGCGUUCGGAAACAAUCGGGUCACCGAUCGUGAGAAUAAAGGGAUCGUUCUAGCGGG